GGACAAUUAGCUCAGUUGGUUUAGAGCGCUGCCUUCACACGGCAGAGGUCACUGGUUCAAAUCCAGUAUUGUCCA
rnacentral:tRNA from 1 species